UCAGUUCAUCUCGGCAGCCUCUGCUGACCAGAGCAUGGCAUGGAGACCAGAGCAGCUGGUUCGAGCACAGAUUGCAGAAACUUCCUAACGUUGGGAACAUAUUUGAGGCCACCCUGGGCACUUCUGACACGUCCGCUGGGGAGAUGAGGACAGCCUGUUCUGUAUUCUCUUUUGGGGUCAGGGAGUUUGUUGUACGAGGGAUUGUUUCUCAAGGUGUGAUCCCCAGACCAGCAGCAUCAGUAUCAUCUGAAACCGUGGCAGAAAUGAAAUGCUGAGCCUUGUGGCCUCCUGAACUAGAAAUGGCCUGGAACAUAUCAAUAUGUCUUUUAAGAAGUCGUCUGAGGGCUCUGGAUGUACACUCAUGCUUGAAGACCACUGGAGGAGAUGGGGAAACCGAGUCCCAGGGAUCUUUGCCCCAAAUCGCAUGACUACUGACUGGCCACACUGGAACCAAAUCCAAGGUCUUACAAUUUUCUCUGAAUUUUCUACAUGGCCAGCUCAAAAAGACACUAUGCCGCACCCUGCGUUUUCUGGAAUAAAGCAGAGAAUGUGGGGAAGGAAGAAAAGGGGAAAGAAUCAAGUAAAGCUUGCUUCUUGCUGAGAUUGUCCUGGGUGCCCUGCUGGAAUUUCCCUUGGAAGAGUCACCCGAGAACCACAGCAGCAGCAAAGAUAUGAAAUGCCAUCUUGUGAAAGAACAUCGAAGACUGGUUAGUGACAUCCCCCCCUGUCAACCACGAUGGAGACGUGAGCUUUGUUACAAACUUUAUGCCUCGAUCAUAUGAGCAGGAUCACAGCUUAAAGCACAUGUAGACGGGA